GUAAGUGUGACAGUAAAUUAGUAAUCCUUUUUUCUUCGCUGGUUCUUGCUAUUAUAGAAAGCAAAAGAAAGGAAAUGCAGUGAAUGGGCAGUGAAUAUCCAAAGAGAUAGCUAUGCCUCUUACAUUGGGCAUUGCCCAAUAUUGGCCUAUUUUGCCGUGGCUGAAAAUGAAUCCAUUGGAAGAGAACGCUACAAUUUCAUUCAGCUUCAAUGCAAAACGACAAUUGAAGAAUCAAAGGAAUGGACCAGGGGAUUAGGACAAUUUCCAAGAGGUUGUGGUCAACCAGAAUUGGUUGGGACAUGUGGUUCAGCUGAGAGUAUUGGGAAGACUAAGCCAUUUUGGGGGUAUUCUGAUUGCACCAGAGUCAAUAAUAAAUGGAUAUAUUGGAUAAUAUGGCUGGCCUUGUAUCAAAGUUAGACAUUAGCUAAUCCAUCUAAUCAAUUACUUGACACUGUUGUUGAAGUUUCAACUUUCAGGAUGAUAAAAAAGUAAGUAUCCAAUAGCAUGAGAAGCUUCAAUGUGCCAUUAGGUUAUCUUUAUUGGCAAUCACACUUUUUCUUUGGAAAAGAGGUUUCAUAUUAGGAUUUCUUUCUUUCUUUUUUUCUUUUUAUUUUAUCCUACAACUAUAAAUAGUAUAUCAAUCAUUCAAUGGCUUUAUUUCUCUUUCUCUAGUAAAAUUUGCUUGUCUUAGUCUUCAAGCAAACAACCUAAGCUUUAGAUCCCAAUUCUUUCUAUAUAGAAAUACAAGGCUCAAAUUGCUGGGAAGAUGGAGUGGGGUUAAAGCUGGUACACCCUUAAAUCUUUUUGUUCUUUGGUGAUAAGACUACAGCCUUAAAUCUAAUCAAAUGUCUAAAACUCUAAUCUGUCUCUCUAUGUACCACAAAAGAAAAAGGUUGGAUUGCUUUAGUUUUGUCAUUUCAUGUUCAAUACGAAAUGAAGGACUCAUUCUCCUCACAUUAUCCCCCAAAUUUUAAUGAACCAUUUAACAUAGUUAACUCCUAUUACACCACAGCUUUGAUCACAACUUUCCAUUUUACUGUAUUUGGUUUUUAAUUUAAUUUGGACAUUGGCACACUGCUUUAAUUGUUAGAAAAUGGCACUAAAAAUUUGUGGCCCUUCGAUAGGAAGAUGGCCCAAGCCUAAUCUGGAAUUUAGUGGUGUGUUUACUUGGAUCCUAGCCUAGCCCAAUUGCUCAGCAUGUACAGUGGCGGGGUUAAGAAAGACAAAUUGGUGGAAUUUGGACCACAGAACUUUAAUAAACACGCUUUAGGUCAAUUCAGUUACCAACCAUUUAUCUGUUUGUGAACUAUUGAAAGCUACACUGCAUAUUUUUUGACAUGCAAAAAUGCACCCCAC